GAUGAACGCUGGCGGCGUGCCUAACACAUGCAAGUCGAACGGGAAUCUUCGGAUUCUAGUGGCGGACGGGUGAGUAACGCGUAAGAAUCUAACUUCAGGACGGGGACAACAGUUGGAAACGACUGCUAUGACCCGAUGUGCCGCAAGGUGAAACCUAAUUGGCCUGAAGAAGAGCUUGCGUCUGAUUAGCUAGUUGGUGGGGUAAAGGCCUACCAAGGCGACGAUCAGUAGCUGGUCUGAGAGGAUGAGCAGCCACACUGGGACUGAGACACGGCCCAGACUCCUACGGGAGGCAGCAGUGGGGAAUUUUCCGCAAUGGGCGAAAGCCUGACGGAGCAACGCCGCGUGAGGGAGGAAGGUCUUUGGAUUGUAAACCUCUUUCU
rnacentral:rRNA from 1 species